GAAACAGUAGUUUAACUGGAAAAACGCUCCACUCAGAGGAGAAUUGCAGGUUCAGCACCGGCCUGUUUCU
rnacentral:tRNA from 1 species